UCCAGUCCUCCCCCGCCCCCAGCGCGCGUCUGGGGCUUCACUUCUCUGUCCCUCCCAGUCGAGGCCCCUCAAAGAGCCCUGAGGGACCAUAUAGUGUCUCCCGGGGUAAAGGUUAUAAGGACUAGGGGCGGGGGGAGGCAGGUGGGAGGGAACACAUCACUUUGCCUGCAGCUGGGAAGCGACCCGAGUGAGGCUUACAGGGCUCCGCCCCUCCAUCGAGUCAAAACUGGGAGAUCUUAGAGAUUCAAGCUCCCCCAGUUUCUUUUUCUUUCUUUCCUUCCUUCCUUUCUUUUCUUUUCUUUUCGUUUCUUUUUUCUUUUUAACAGAGGAAGAAAUUGAGGCCCUAGAAGAGUCAUGAUUUGUCAAGGUCACGGUUUCCUAACGCAGAAAUGGAGCCCGGGUCACUGAAAGGAAGUCAUUUCAGCUCCAUUUCGGAGCAGAGGUGGAAGGAAGACGGAUUACUUUUCCCCCGAGUCCUGGGCUGUGGCUUUGCUGACUUGCUGGGGCGUUUCUAACCCUCUAUUUUUGUCCUGAUUCUCCCUCACCCAUAUAUAACUGGCGGGACAGAGCAACCUCGGGGCUCCCAGUGGAUCCAGAGGCUUUUCGGAUUCAGGCCCAGGCUCAGGCCUUUACGUAUAACCCCCUAUCUGGAAGGCCUGAAGGCAAGGCACUGAGAGAAAUUUUUGUCCUUCCAACCUGUCGGUGGUUGUCUCGUGCCUUAGAGGAACUGGAGGUGGAACCAUCCAAGGCAGUCUUGAAAGGCAGCAGAGUGUGAUUAGAUAAGUGUGCAGCUUGAGGUGAGGAAAGGGUCACUUUCCACUGUGAGGAUAAGAAGAUGCAAUCAAAAGCCUGUUUUUUAGCAGUACAGAUGGAAUCUCCUCCUUGCUCCAGAGCUCUGAGCUGCCUGCUGCACCCCAGCCUCGCGAC
rnacentral:lncRNA from 1 species